ACUUUCUUUCCAGGGAGUAAAACCUUGUGUUUCGCAGUGGGAUUUAGCAUGGACACCCGAGAACCCAGCGUUUCUCCAUAUUUUUGUUCCCACCUGACAGCUCAGUGCUGAAGCAGAAUUCAAUCAAUCUUUCCAUGUUCUGGAUUUAAAGAAUAAUGUUUGAAAUGUUCAGUUUAAUUUGGGGAAGAGAGUUUAUGUUUUGUAAGAAGAGCUUGUGAUUUUUUUCCUCGUAUUUUCCUUUAGAGCCUGUUGUGUGUAAAAUGGAGAGAUGGUUGCAACUAGCUCUUACCUCAGUGUAAUCUCUCACUCUUCUCUCCUCCUUCAGGACAAUCUUAAGCUUCCAGUACAAGAAGAUUAAGUAGCGCUCCCUCCUGUACAAGAAAGAUCUGCAGAUCUUUCCAGUGUUGUUGGAGGUGCGGGCUGCGAGCGCUUAAGAGUGGCAGCCCGCUUGUCCUCUAGCGGUCACGAAGGACUGGGGCUCUCCAGAAGACCUCAUUAACCACCCAGCAUGUUUACCUGACCUGAUUUCUGUUGUUGUCCACUGGUUAAGGACCGUUUUCUCUAGAGGCAGCAUUUCUCCACCCGUCACUUGCAGGAAAGUCUGUAGGUGUGAGGUGAACAGCUUCCAAAUACACUGAACUCCUGGGGGACAGGCCCUGAGGACCCUGUGUGCUACACACCAUUUACGCUUCUCUUGCUGCGAAUUCAGUGUUAAGCCAUCUACAUAAACUACCAGAUGGCUUCCCCAAAGCAGUCACCUAAGCGCCUGUUAGUCCCCUGCUGUGUGUAAGGAAAAUGAAGAUGGCAGCUUGCCAGACAACUCCCGCCCAGCCACCUGCUGUGAUUCGAACUCACAUCGGCCGUCGCCGAGGCCUGUGGCAUGGUGUCGCUGAGCAAAGCCUGGCUGCGCGGCUGAAAAAAAUCACCUCCUUGCCCCCCAAGUACUGCCUUUUAAAUAGCAUCUUGAUCAGCUUGAGCUGGGGCUUGCUAACUUCUUUCUUUAAUAACAGCCUAGUCCUAAAACUUUUGUAAAAUCUACUCUUACCCACGUAAAGCCAAAUAAACCAGUUAGAAUCAUGAA